UGUUGCUUCUGACCAAAUUACUAAUUUUAUGUGGACACAACUGAGAUAAUGGCCUAAAAAUCAUAGAAUUUACUGUCUUACCGUGUACCUUAUCCCACAGAACCACGUGGCCUUACGGAGAGUUGAAACUGUCUGAAAACUGAAUGGAAGUAAGACCACAGGAUAAGAUUCAAAUGCUCAGAAAAGAUUUUAGAUUAUGAUUAUUGUGUGGAUUAUAUUAAACUAGAAAAAAAGAAGACAGGACC